rnacentral:tRNA from 2 species
GUCUCUGUGGCACAAUUGGUUAGCGUGUUUGGCUGUUAACCAAAAGGUUGGUGGUUCGAGCCCACCCAGGGACA